UCCGGUAUAGUGUAACGGUUAACAUAUCGCGUUUUCAUGGGUUAAUCUGACCUGAAAUCCGCGGGGCUCGGGGUUCGAUUCCCCGUACCGGAG